UCGAGGUGGACAUCGUUGAACGCUUGAACUCAUCACUACCAAAAUCAACUUCAACUCCAUAAUACAAUUAUUUCUAGUUUAGUCCAACUAAGUUAACAAUGAUUGCCACCAACUUAGCUUAUUAAUCAUGCAUUUUCGCUUUGCUUAUUAAGCAUUAGGAUGGCUCGGAAUCAUGCAUUUGAAUUCAUUAGGAAUACCCAAAAUAUAUCAUCAUGUUUUGCCUUGUUGCAAUGUUUAAUCUCACGAAAGCCACUCGCAGGUUAUGCAACGCCUCAUUGAUCGUGGAGCACUUCAGCCUACCGGAGAUUUGUCGUCUGUAUGCACCAUCCCAGUACUCAUUAUAUAUUAGAAAGGGAAAGGUCACUUGAUAGGGUGAUUUUCAGAAACAUUUGGUGCUCUCUUUCUCUCUCUUUCUUCCCCAUUCUCUAGGUACGGAGAUCCGUUCAAUCCUUUUUGGACAAUAUGUUAAGCCAGACACCAGAUCAGUCGCAGACGUUUUCUGCAAUUGGGGAGGUAUAGGCUAUAUUCUCGAUAAAGAUUUUUCCUUCGUGAAGAUUGCUGCAGAUUAUGCUCAGGAGGUUUUAUAUUUAAGACAGAAGCAGCGUACGGGGACACAGCUUGUAAACGAUAUAAGGAAACAAGCCGAUGAUGCUAGAAGCUAUACCAUGUCGAUGCCAUACAGAGUUCAGAGAAUAGAGGAGUUUGUGAAAGAGCUCGAAUCAGGGGAUCUGAAACUGCGAGUCCGGGUACUUGAGUCGGAAAGAGCUGCACGAAAAGCGACAAUACUACAGAUGGCGACGAUGUAUACAGUCUUGGGAGCUACCCUGGUGAACCUCGGGGUCACUUUGAGUAGUCAAGGCAGCCAAGCUUUCGCAAAUGGAUCAUUCAUCGGUGCAGGAAUCUUCUUCACGCUGUUAGCUAGGUCUAUGCAGAGGGUGAAAAAAACUUGAUAAAUUCGAGAAGAUGAUCUAAUGUCUAAACCGAAAAUCUAGAAACCCGUCUUGCCAUUGCAGUAUAGCGUCCAUCUCGUUUCUCGUUCAUCCCUCUAAUUCUUCACCAGCUUCAUAUCGGCCGGUUUUUUUAUUUUUAUUUUUUUAUGCAUACACAAGAGUUGUAUGCCUUGUAUACCAUACACACAAACAUGAAAAUAAUAGUGCCUCAGAAAUUUGAGCCCUGUAUAUGUAUAAGCAAUUGGUGACUGUACAAAGCGGCGAUAAAUUUAUUAUAAAUUUUCAAUUUUUAA